rnacentral:lncRNA from 1 species
UCAACUCAAAGCUCAAAACCUCAUUUUCUUCCUUAAUCUUUCUUGUUUUUGUUCUUAUUAUGUUUCUCCUUUUUCAUUCUUAUUCAGCUCAGACUGUAGGUUUAAACAAAUAAAUAAUGUAUGAAAGCAGCAGUAAUUCUCGGGGUGGUUUAAUUGUUGUGGCGAUUGGUAGCAUUUUUUGUGGAGGAUAAAGUUGCAGGGUUUGCCGGCGGAGGUGGCAUCGGCGUCAGCGUCGAGUUUGCCGGCGGAGAACGGCGAGCAGUGUUAAUGGUCAAAGGAAAUUCCAAAUUGUCAUUCCAAAAAUUUCCAAAUUUAGUUCAAAUAAAAUUUAGCUUCCAUCUUUGAGUUGGUGGUGAAAAGUCACUCGGAGCAGGUGUUAAGUGUAUAUUUAUACACUUAAUUGUACCUUUUAAUUGGAACUUUUGGUAUGUUUUAACGAUAAUUGGUGCUUAAAAUGGUUAUUAUUUGUAUUUUAGGUGCAAAUUGAAGAAUUGGCAACUUGUGGGGUGAAAACUGCAAAUUCGGAGAAAAAGUGGGCCAAAAGUGAAAAUGUCGAAAUUCUGG